CAGAAGGAAAAUCGCGAGAGAUAUUUCGUCCCGGACGCGUCCGCCCCGACGACAGACGAACAGCAGAGAAAAGUGAGGUGAUCAUGAGCACCAUGGCGAUGUCGGCGCUGAACCCGGACGCGCCCAUGUUCAUCCCGGCGGCGUUCAAGAAGGUGGAGGACUACUCGCCCGAGUGGUGGGAGCUGGUCAAAACCACCGCCUGGUUCCGCGACCACUGGUUCCGCCAGCACCAGCUCUACGAGGACCUCGCCGACGACGUCGACGACGUCGCCGCCCUCCUCCCCGACGACUCCGUCGACCUCCUCGACGCCGACGACCUCUUCUACUCCCCGCCGUCGCCCCAGCCCCAGCCCGACUUCUACCACUACAAACCAGCAGGGUUCGGCGGCGACAUGGACGCGGUGCUGAAGACGCUGAGCCUGAACUCGCCGAGGGGCGGUGGCCCGGCACCAGCCUGGGCGCCGAUGAGGCACGCCGAGAAGCCGGCGCAGCACGUCAGCCCCAGGGCCGGCGGCGGCGCCCGCCGCGCCAUCCACCAGCCUCGCUAGAAGCUAAACGAGCGCUGCUGCUGCUGCUGUGUAGUGUAACCUUCAGUUCAGUUCAGUUGGGUUCAGUCUAGUCUCUCCCUGCAUCUGUGUAUACAGCUGAAAAAUGAAGGGGAAAACAAACUGCAGGCCCCUGCUUGCUAGCUAGUGCUCUCCCUUCCCUUGUAGCUCCCCUCCUCCCGUGUUCAGAAAUGGUCAAGAACAAAAGCAAAAAAAAAAAGAUCAUGUGUAAUUCUAUGAUGAGAUGGUAAUCAGGUCCAACGCUAGACCUUUUCUCAAGUUAGGAUUGGAAGUGGGGGUGAAGGGCCCCACCCCACUGAAAAUCAGGGGGCGAUUAGGAUUAGGAUUUGGCAAGUUACGUAACCCUUCGUAGGAGUUUACGUAGGUUUAGCAUUUUCGUUUCUCAAGUCCUUCUCUCUUUUGGCUUGCUUCCACUGUGUUUUUUCCUGAUUUUGUGCAUGAUUCUUCACUGUCUGUGAUUGCCAUGAAGAGCUUAAAAUAGAAGGUGAGAGAGAGAUCACUUUGGUUGAUUCUGCCAUCAAGAGCUUAACAUGGAAGUGAUUGAUCAGGAAGGUUUCCGAGGGAGAUCCC
rnacentral:rRNA from 1 species